rnacentral:rRNA from 1 species
UGAGCAAUCUGCCCUUCUCUUUGGAAUAAGCGUUGGAAACGACGUCUAAUGCCGAAUACGACCUCCUUUCGCAUGAUCGGAGGUGGAAAGCUCCGGUGGAGAAGGAUGAGCUCGCGGCCUAUCAGCUAGUUGGUGUGGGUAAUGGCCCACCAAGGCGACGACGGGUAGCCGGCCUGAGAGGGUGACCCGGCCACACUGGGACUGAGACACGGCCCAGACUCCGUACGGGAGGCAGCG